GUUAAGAGUGUGUUAGUGUGUCUGUGUUAGUGCGUCUGCGUUAGUGUGUCUGUGUGUUAGUGUGUCUGUGUGUUAGUGUUAAUGUGUGUUAGUGUUAAUGUGUGUGUGUGUGUGUGUCACCUCACAGUCCCCUCUGUUCCAUGAGAUGCUGUUUAUUCUGUUUCUUUUAAAGGUAAUUCUUCUGUUUGCUGAGUAACUGGAAAUGGAAGGGAGUUCCAUGGGACCACGGCUCUGUGUAAUACUCUGCUUCCUGGUUUCAGGAGGAAAGGGUCUUAAAGAAAUACACAAUAUCCAGAACAAACAAGUCACCAGCCUGCUCUUUGACAUUCAAAGCAUGGGACAACUGACUAGGAUAUUUCUUAGUCCUUUUUUGUUGUUGUUAUAUGAUAUGUUAUUUUCUGUUUGUUAAAACAGGACCUUGAAACAACACAACACAUCACCUCAUUUUAUUUUUUGAUUUUUUUUCUUCCCAAAACCUGGGGAGAGGAAACAAAAUCUUGCACAAUAGCUCAUUAAAAUAAAUAUUUUAUUAUUUCAUUUUAAUCAUGGUAGAAUUGUUAUUCAAAUUGACCAACCGAUCAGAGCCUACUAUUGCCUCUUCAGUCAGCUAAUUAGACUGACCUAUAAAAGUAGUUGACAAAUAUGCGAAAAUAAAUCCAACUUAAAAGAAACAUGUGUUUGGUUGUGACAUAGCGCCACUACCAACCAAUACUUGUGAAGUAAUACGUUCAGGCAUGAAUCCCCAAAGUUCAUGUUGACACUUCCAAUAGGCUGGGAAAUGAUCUAAAUUAGGAACAUUUAAUGAUUGAUCGUGAAGAAAUGUGGUUCGCAUCUUUGAAAGAAUUUGCCUCUUUCUUAUAGUGGUAAUUCAAUAUAAAUAUUUAUAUAAUUGUUUAAAAGCUAUGCUUAAAACAUAUAUAUUUUUUGUGUACAUCAAGUUUACAUUUUGAAAGACCAUGGCUAUAUCCAAUUCCAGACAAAAUUGUAGCACUCAAAUUUAGCAUUUAUCUUUUUAUUCAUUGAUUGAGCAUUUAUUGAUAAAAAAAGAAAUGUCACUUGGCAUUGAGUUUGUCCUCCCUGGGUUUCUGUGAGCUAAUCUGAAUUCUAGCACUUUCAAUCUUUAAAAAAAAAAAAGUUUUUUUUCUUUUAAAAUUUCAGCUUAUAUGUUCCUAUGUUUAUAAUUUUGUAUUUGAUCCUGUGUAUGUAUGUAUGUGCCAUUAGUUUGAUGUGUAGAUUUGAUCAAUAUUUGUCUAUUUUUCUCCUCCAAAAGAAACAGUAUUUUUUAAUAGACUUUUCACUAAUACCUUCUUUCAUGUGCCCCCCCCCACAAUUGUAUAUAAUUAACACAACAACAACAACAAAAUAUUCUACAACCAAGUAUUUGUAACAGAUUUGUAAUCUAAUUGCCUUUCAGAGAGCUUGGUGAGCAUGACACAUCAUCGUCCCUAGGACGUCACAUCCACGAUCUGGAAUAGAGAAACUACCAGAUUGACCUCUUCUUCAAGGUCAAAAAGACUAGGUCCUGUUUUUUCCCCACAUAGUUCCAUUUAACAGCACAUUAUCUGGGGAACCCAGUUUUUAAAGCACUUUUAUUUUGCAACCAUAACAACUGUCUGAAGUGUGACAAAUAAAGGUGAAAUAAUACAAACUAAUUACGGAAAAGGACUGUACUGUUGCCUAGUAACUACAGAAUACAUGUUGUCUCUAGACAGGAAAAGGACUGUACUGCUGCCUAGUAACUACAGAAUACAUGUUGUCUCUAGACUGGAAAAGAGCUGUACUGCUGCCUAGUAACUACAGAGUACAUGUUGUCUCUAGACUGGAAAAGGACUGUACUGCUGCCUAGUAACUACAGAGUACAUGUUGUCUCUAGACAGGAAAAGGACUGUACUGCUGCCUAGUAACUACAGAGUACAUGUUGUCUCUAGACAGGAAAAGGACUGUACUGCUGCCUAGUAACUACAGAGUACAUGUUGUCUCUAGACAGGAAAAGGACUGUACUGCUGCCUAGUAACUACAGAAUACAUGUUGUCUCUAGACAGGAAAAGGACUGUACUGUUGCCUAGUAACUACAGAAUACAUGUUAUCUCUAGACAGGAAAAGGACUAUACUGUUGCCUAGUAACUACAGAAUACAUGUUGUCUCUAGACAGGAAAAGGACUGUACUGCUGCCUAGUAGCUACAGAGUACAUGUUGUCUCUAGACAGGAAAAGGACUGUACUGCUGCCUAGUAGCUACAGAGUACAUGUUGUCUCUAGACAGGAAAAGGACUGUACUGCUGCCUAGUAGCUACAGAGUACAUGUUGUCUCUAGACAGGAAAAGGACUGUACUGCUGCCAGGCUGUGCCAAGACAGGGCUACAGAGAAGGCAGGUCUCCAUCUGUCCCAGUUUACAGUAGACCUCACCCCACACAUGAGUUUACAGUAGACCUCACCCCACACAUGAGUUUACAGUAGACCUCACCCCACACAUGAUAGUGUACAGUAGACCUCACCCCACACAUGAGUGUACAGUAGACCUCACCCCACACAUGAGUUUACAGUAGACCUCACCCCACACAUGAGUUUACAGUAGACCUCACCCCACACAUGAGUUUACAGUAGACCUCACCCCACACAUGAGUUUACAGUAGACCUCACCCCACACAUGAGUUUACAGUAGACCUCACCCCACACAUGAGUUUACAGUAGACCUCACCCCACACAUGAGUUUACAGUAGACCUCACCCCACACAUGAGUUUACAGUAGACCUCACCCCACACAUGAGUUUACAGUAGACCUCACCCCACACAUGAGUUUACAGUAGACCUCACCCCACACAUGAGUUUACAGUAGACCUCACCCCACACAUGAGUUUACAGUAGACCUCACCCCACACAUGAGUUUACAGUAGACCUCACCCCACACAUGACAGUUUACAGUAGACCUCACCCCACACAUAACAGCAGAGAAGAUGGAUAUGCUAAUAAUUCAUUCGUGGAAGAAAACUAAAACUAAAGUACUUGUUGGGAGGCAGCUGUAAAUGCUACAUUUUGCACAGCUAGCCUUGGGAAGUGGCCUUUUCAGGAGUAUUUCAGUCUCAUCUGGAUGACAUAAUCAUUUUAUCCAUCCCACCUGUUUUGGAGAGACAAACUCUGCUAAACCUCUGCUGAGAUACUCAUGAGAAGGACUACCUCUGACGGUGGUGUUACACCAUGAUUCAAACCAUCAAAUAGUUCAUUAGCAUCGUUAAUGGAAAGGUUGUGGAAGUAAUAUCUCACCUUAAACUUUGACUGAGUGCCGAGUGGAUGUUUUCGCUACAGCGCCUUGUUGGUUCAUUACCUCGACUGCGCCUACUAGAGAUGCAUUUGUCUUCACCUUUUCUCUGUACUAGUAGGUGCAAAACACACAAUUUAAGGGAAUUCUUAAAUUUUUUAAUUUAAAAAAAGAAAUUCUUUCCAUUUUUAAGUCAGAACCUGUUUUUGGAUUUCAUUAAUGCUUUCUGUUGUUGUUGUUGUAGUGAGAAACUGGGUACUGUCUGGUGAAGACAAGAUUCACAUGUAGUUUUACAUUUUUGUUUUUUAGCUUAAUGUAUGUCUUUUCCAAGCUCUUUGUGUAUGUCGUGUAGCAACAUCUACUUUAUGUUUCAUACUUUAUUACAGCCACCUCUGGGGGGGAAAGGUCAUCCUUACACUAUUUUAUAUAGCAUGGAGUUUAUCAACUACAGGGAGAAUUGUAUAAAAAAUAUAUAUUCUUCAGAGGAAAAACAGCUUUUUUUGUUGUUUCAUAUCUCACAUGCAAUCAGUUGCUGCAAAGUGACAGAUUUUGUAUAUUGGUUGAUCCAAAGAGAUGACAUAACAACAAACCUAUUUACUGAUUGUACAGUACAUUGUAUCUUUGAACUGUCAUGUGUUAUGUUAUUAAAAUACAAACCCACGGUUUCAUA